GGUUGUAUAGUAUAGUGGUCAGUACGGCUCGUUGUGGAGGGACAAUACCCGAGCAGACUCAGGUUCGAUUCCUGAUACAGCCA